GACGAACGCUGGCGGCGUGCCUAAUACAUGCAAGUCGAACGCACAGCGAAAGGUGCUUGCACCUUUCAAGUGAGUGGCGAACGGGUGAGUAACACGUGGACAACCUGCCUCAAGGCUGGGGAUAACAUUUGGAAACAGAUGCUAAUACCGAAUAAAACUUAGUGUCGCAUGACACAAAGUUAAAAGGCGCUUUGGCGUCACCUAGAGAUGGAUCCGCGGUGCAUUAGUUAGUUGGUGGGGUAAAGGCCUACCAAGACAAUGAUGCAUAGCCGAGUUGAGAGACUGAUCGGCCACAUUGGGACUGAGACACGGCCCAAACUCCUACGGGAGGCUGCAGUAGGGAAUCUUCCACAAUGGGCGAAAGCCUGAUGGAGCAACGCCGCGUGUGUGAUGAAGGCUUUCGGGUCGUAAAGCACUGUUGUAUGGGAAGAACAGCUAGAAUAGGAAAUGAUUUUAGUUUGACGGUACCAUACCAGAAAGGGACGGCUAACUACGUGCCAGCAGCCGCGGUAAUACGUAGGUCCCGAGCGUUGUCCGGAUUUAUUGGGCGUAAAGCGAGCGCAGGUGGUUUAUUAAGUCUGGUGUAAAAGGCAGUGGCUCAACCAUUGUAUGCAUUGGAAACUGGUAGACUUGAGUGCAGGAGAGGAGAGUGGAAUUC
rnacentral:rRNA from 1 species